rnacentral:rRNA from 1 species
UACAUGGGGUGCAAACGUUGCUCGGAAUUAUUGGGCGUAAAGCGCGCGUAGGCGGUUACUCAAGUCGGAUGUGAAAGCCCUCGGCUUAACUGAGGAAGUGCACCCGAAACUGAGUAGCUAGAGUACCAAAGAGGGUCGCGGAAUUCCCGGUGGUAGAGGUGAAAUUCGUAGAUAUCGGGAGGAACACCGGUGGCGAAGGCGGCGACCUGGGUGGAUACUGACGCUGAGGCGCGAAAGCGUGGGAGCAAACAGG